AGGAAAAAGAAAAUAGGACGGCCAACGAGUGGAUUCAGUGGUCCGUCAAGUUUUCAACUGAGUGCAAUGUGUUCGCGCUCGUGAUUCCGAGUUCCGGGGACCUACUGUGUUCGGUCCUUAGUGAGAUGUGUUGUUUGUGGGUGUUUUCGUUACCCAUAGUAUUGCGAGCUGUGAGAGGGCAAGUGCUACAGGUGUGGGCAACCGGGCUGUGCGCGGGACGAGUGUCUGCAAGGUGACAGCCGGAGCCUGACACUGGCGACAGCCUAUUUCUCUCUAGGAUGGCUUGCAGGUGUGCCAUCUGUGGCAUGGUCGGGAGAGAGGGCGUUGAGGAC
rnacentral:lncRNA from 1 species